GUGGAGGAACUUCCGGCAGCGGCAGCUCAAGUGGCCAAGGCAAGAUGGGUCAAAGUCAGAGUGGUGGUCAUGGUCCUGGAGGUGGCAAGAAGGAUGACAAGGACAAGAAAAAGAAAUAUGAACCUCCUGUACCAACUAGAGUGGGGAAAAAGAAGAAGAAAACAAAGGGACCAGAUGCUGCUAGCAAACUGCCACUGGUGACACCUCACACUCAGUGCCGGUUAAAAUUACUGAAGUUAGAGAGAAUUAAAGACUAUCUUCUCAUGGAGGAAGAAUUCAUUAGAAAUCAGGAACAAAUGAAACCAUUAGAAGAAAAGCAAGAGAUCAAAAGUGGAUGAUCUGAGGGGGACCCCGAUGUCAGUAGGAACCUUGGAAGAGAUCAUUGAUGACAAUCAUGCCAUCGUGUCUACAUCUGUGGGCUCAGAACACUACGUCAGCAUUCUUUCAUUUGUAGACAAAGAUCUGCUGGAACCUGGCUGCUCGGUCCUGCUCAACCACAAGGUGAGGUGAUAGUCUUUUUCAAAAGCCCAUGGAAGUGCUUUCUCUUCUCACUUAGAUCCAUCUUCCUGUCCCAUGGAAG
rnacentral:sRNA from 1 species